GCCCUUUUAGCUCAAUUGGUAGAGCAGCUCUUUUGUAAAGAGUUGGUUGCGGGUUCGACUCCUGCAGGGGGCA
rnacentral:tRNA from 1 species